GGGUUUGGUGCCCCCUGCUGGCCAAACUCUCAAUGAGCAGAUGCCAACGGCUUUGUGGUGGUUUGCUAGCACUUUACCCAAAAGAAUCCCAGGUGACUGCCGCUUUACGAGGUCAAGUAACGUGGUCAACAAUAACAACCUAAUAAUAUAAAUACAUUAAGUACUGUAAAAAAAUUGUAUUUUCUUUAUUGUUUUAACCUUUUGGUAUUUUGUUGCAAUCCUACAAUCUCUUUUGGGAUUGUUUGGGAUUAAUAUGUACGGUCAGAGUGCGCAGGCUGCUGGAGAGGAGCGAGCGCCCCUUGAACUUGGCGAGCGCCUGGACCAGCCGUGGUAACAGAUGGAGGACGGCGGUCCCUGCAAAUGUACAGUAUGUUUCUCACCACGGCGCCCCCCUGCGACGUGGAAGCACACCCCUGCCUCUCAAACACCAGCUGCGCAGGGAAGAGGCCGUAUCGGAGGACUGUGAUUGGAUUGGAGGAGCCGGCCAUGUUGCCUGUCAGUGUCUCAGGAUGUGUCCAGCGGCCAAUCGGCAGCCGCCCGGUCGGCUUACCACAGCCACGGCGGAGCUUUGAAGAUAGUGCUACUGGGACAGAACGACGUGGGCAAGUCGUCGCUAGCCUUAUCUCUGGCCGGGCAAUCGGACAGAUCCCUCUCUAUAGACUCUGAGAUGCGAGCAUGUGGUAAAGACCUGGAUGGCGAUUGAUGGAUUUGGAUUUUUAAAUCUGUCUGAAGGGUUACUUUAGAAAUGCUUCAUUCACACACUGCGUUAGCUAAGCUUAACAAUUACUUGUCAAAAGUCAGGUGAACAGAUUGAUACCACUCUGAUGUCUUCAGGCUAGACAUGAGCCUGGAGGUAGCAAUUAGCUAGCCUAGCUUAGCAUAAAACACAAAACAGAUAUUCUACAGAGGUUAUAAAAUGGCUUCUGGUUGCAGAGCCGGGGUAAGCUGAUUGCGCCCUUUUUCCAGUCUUCAUGCUAAGCUAAUACAACAAGCUUCCCUUUGGGUCCCCCUCAUGCAUAAAGCUGACUUGGCCGUGACUCACGACAUACAGGAUUCAUUACUGCCCAUGUUGUACACUUGGACUCAUGCAUCAUAAAUGGAUAGAAAAACUA